rnacentral:rRNA from 1 species
CCAAUAGCGUAUAUUAAAGUUGUUGCAGUUAAAACGCUCGUAGUUGAAUUUUGGAUUCUUCCAAUUGGUCCAUCUUUUAGAUGAGUACUGGUUGUGUGGGGUCUAUCCGCCUGGUGAUACGUAAUGUCCUUUAUUGGAUGUUGCGGGUAGUCAGGACCUUUACCUUGAAAAAAUUAGAGUGUUUAAAGCAGGCUUAUGCCGGAAUACAUUAGCAUGGAAUAAUAGAAUAGGACGAAGUUGUUUUAUUUUGUUGGUUUCUAGGACAACCGUAAUGAUUAAUAGGGAUAGUUGGGGGCAUUAGUAUUCAAUUGUCAGAGGUGAAAUUCUUGGAUUUAUUGAAGACUAACUACUGCGAAAGCAUUUGCCAAGGAUGUUUUCAUUAAUCAAGAACGAAAGUUAGGGGAUCGAAGACGAUCAGAUACCGUCGUAGUCUUAACCAUAAACUAUGCCGACUAGGGAUCGGGCGAUGUUGUUUCCAUGACUCGCUCGGCACCUUAUG